rnacentral:lncRNA from 1 species
CUUAUGCCCCCCGCCCCCGCCUCGGCCGCGUCCCCGCGCUCCCGGCAGCCUGCGAGGGGGAGGAGGAGGGGGCGUGGGGUCCGCCGCCGCUGCAGACAACGACAGGAGCCGGGUGCUGGACCCAAACCUGGAGGGGACGCCAGAGCCACGGCGAGGCUUUUGCACGCUGGGGCCCCACCCCACCUCAAGGGGACCACGCCUGCGCCUUAACUCUGGCAGCGCCGCCGGCGCCGCGAGCUAGAAUUUGCUUGGCAUCGAGAGGUGCCCUGGGUGUUGGCAGGCGGCGCCUCCCUCACUUUGGGCCGGACAGUGUGUGUGUGUGUGUGUGUGUGUGUGUGUGUGUGUGUGUCCUUUGGCCUCACCAGAGGCUCCAAAUCGGCCACCCGCACCCAGAGGCAAGGUACUUCUGGGCCCACACAGCUUCUGGAGGCCCAGCUCCCAGGAAUGCUAGGGACCGUUAA